GUUGGGUCUUGUUCAGGUUUGCCAGAGUUCAUGCAGAUAGAGAAAAUCUUAACAGUCAACAACGAGAUAAUGUUUCUCUGCGAACCACAAUCUGCAUGGUACAUUGAGCAUUUGCGCUCUUAUGAAUUGUGCAGUUUGCAUUCACUUCAAGUUGUUCUGCCUUCUGAACUGAAUGACCCCUUCCCUUUGGCAGCUUAUAAUAUUCGAGGGUGUUUAUAUGUCACAUUGAAGUAUUACAUCUGUUGCUAAACUGCAUUGUAUCAUUGCAUGUUUCUGAUUUCUACUUUCUUUGUUUUAGAAUUUCACUUAGCCAUGUCCAUGACACUUCGCGUUAUUGUGCACGACAGUGACAUCCGGAAGGUUGUCUUAGAGGAAACACCAGCUGAUGCUGAUGCUUUAAAACAAGUGCUGCAGAAGAAACUGCAACUUGCACACCCAUUCAACCUCCAGUAUGAAGACCCUUUUUUUAACAAUGCAUUAUGCAAUAUCAGUGACAUUAAUGACUUACCAGAGAGAGCGACGGUGAAAAUAAUUCCUCUGGACACAUCACCUUCCUCAAGUCAAGCUGACACCAUAAUUCUCUUAGGUUCUGAUACAUCAGAGCAGUUGUCUGCUGAACGACAGAUUGUAUGGCCAGAUGAGUUUGAGAUACCUAAAUUCUCGGUUAAUGUUGAGUAUCGUCUACGACAGGGAAACCUAGCUUUUAUGAAAGAUGGUACAACUGCUGACGUUGGAAGAGACAUAAAACAUGACAUACUGGAGGGGCUUGCUGGGGCCAUUUACACAUUUAGGGCCUAUCCAAGUGAUAAGGAUUUUACCCAAGUUGCUGCAGCUCUCAUCAAAACACACCCAUGUUUGACUGAACAGGGCUCCACAUCAGGCUUUGCUGGCUGGAAAAACAGCCUAAAGUUUAAAAUGGCCAACUACAGAUCAAAAAUGCGUAAAUCUGGCUGUAGUGAUGUUGCAAUUGGGGAAAAGAGAAGGCAACAAAGCAUCAAGGCAUCAAAAAACCCAGACGAUCUGAGUUGAAUUUCUUGCCAAACUUUCCUAAUGGCGAAGAUGAAGAAAGCCAAGAACGUACAAUAGAACUUGUAGAAGAAAUGAAAAGGAGGCCUCUAAACAUGAGCUUGAUUGGCCAAAAGAUGGACAGUACAUUUGCCUUGAGACGAAAAGAAAUUGUCCACUCUGAACCUCUUGUCAGUGACAUCUUGGAAAAGUAGCCGGCACUUUUUUUGGAAAGUCAGAUCUUUGCAGAAUUCAGUCGAAUUUCGGGAAGAAAUUUGAGAUCGGAGUUCUACACUGCAUUAGACACACACUCAGCUCGCUUGAUAGAAAUUUUCAAAAAAAGAGGAGGAAAUCAGGGAAAAAAACUAGAUGAGAUUUUGCAACAAGUUUAUUCUAAGCCAUCUGAUGUGACAGUUGUCCGCUCCGCAGUUCUUCAGGGUCUUCCAGUCCUUUUGGGGGAUGA